UACAGAGGGGGCAAGCGUUGUUCGGAAUUACUGGGCGUAAAGGGCGCGUAGGCGGCCUGCUAAGUCGAACGUGAAAUCCCCGGGCUCAACCCGGGAACUGCGUCCGAGACUGGCAGGCUCGAAUCCGGGAGAGGGAUGUGGAAUUCCAGGUGUAGCGGUGAAAUGCGUAGAUAUCUGGAGGAACACCGGUGGCGAAGGCGGCAUCCUGGACCGGUAUUGACGCUGAGGCGCGAAAGCCAGGGGAACAAACGGG
rnacentral:rRNA from 1 species